rnacentral:sRNA from 1 species
UUUUAUUAAAUAUAUGGAACUAUUUAUAAUAUUUAAAAGGGAUUACCAAACGUACUGUUUUCUGGAAUUCGUUCUUAAUUUCCGGUAUUAAUUUAUUUUAUUUUUACUUUGGUAUUUAUUUUUGUCAAUAAUUAUAUCUAAUUUAUAAGAAGAACUGAAUAUAAAUAAUAUUAGUUUUUUUGUCUUUCUUACAAAUUAUAACAACACAGUAAAAAUCAAUCGCUAAUAUAAAUUUUACUUCAGUUUAUAAUAUAAAGUGUUAAGCGACAUUUUCCGCGGUUAUUUUUUAUUAUACCCGUGAUAGCCGUUUGUUUCCGAAGAACUUUAUAAUUGGGAGGUGGUUUUCCUUUCGUAUCGUUUUCGUUUUUGGGCGUAAUUAUAUAUUAUAUAUAUUAAUUACGGCUUUAUUUCUUUUCCAAAUUAAUAUUUAUUUAAUUACAAAAUAGGUAUUAGUGGUAAAAAACUCGCUCCAAAAUAAUUUCUGUUAAUAAUACUGGUGUACUAAUAGGGGAUUAGGGGUAAACCCCAGGCGCGGCGUAAUAUUAACCAAUAAUAAAAACGCUGUAGCUAUAAUGGGAAUACCUUGUAAAUACAGGGCAAAAAUGCAUUGAAAUUUAGGACAAUUAGUUAUAUUAAUUGUGGGAGAUUUGCUUGUCUCCUUUAUAUACCCUCUAAUAUUAAAAUGGGGGUCGGUACGCCAAAAGGGUUACCGGUGCCGCAGGUGGUUUUCCGAAAAUUUAAUUUAUAUUAUUACGGACUCGUGCUAAUUGCACGUAUAUUUAUGGAUAAAUAACAGUGGGAACCAAGUAAUAAUUGACGUUUUAUACAAAAAGGGGAAAAUCGCCAAAAUCUUUUCUGCACCCCUUUUUUUCCCUUUAAGCGGUUAUAAUAAUUCCUGUCGAGUACCUUAUUAUUAUAUGGACGUUGGCUUAUUUAAUAAUAUUUAUUAUUAUUAUUAUUUUUAUAUAAAUAGCAAAUUU